rnacentral:snRNA from 1 species
GAGCAGGGGGACUGGCUUUAAGGCCCAACAUACACCCUAUUGAUCUCUAGGGUUGAUUCAGCUGAAUUGGCUGGCUAAGCUGGUGUCCCCUUCCUCCCUCACCGUUCCAUGUGCCUCCCUGUAGAAGCUGUGUGCUCAGUGUAAGAGGAUGGCCUUCCCGAAAAGAGACAGACCAGUCCAGUCUUAGGUCUAGUGUAUUCGAGUAGCUGUGCUCCCCUGCUAGAGCCUCCAAACAAGAUCUCAAGGUUCAAAUGCCACACUCCCUGACAAAGUUACAACACCUAGCACCAGUGCCUGAGGGGAAGGGGCACAUGCGAACAUGUAUCUAU